ensembl:lncRNA
CACACAGUUCCGCUUAACAAAGGAAGGUCAUUGGUCCAAGCUUGCAAUUCCUUGCAACGCAAACCCUCUGGUGUUGCUACAUUCCAGACACUGAACGCCAUACCCAAACUAUCUGUCCCGGCUUGCCAUCUUCCCGCAGGAGUGCAACAUCGCCGUUCCAAAUUAUAUUUAGUCAAGGACAUUCGCCUUAAUAAAUCAGCAUUAAUUAUUCCUAAAGUGGUGAUUGUAAUGAUUGAUAUACGUCUGUGCGUCACUGAACUCCAUAAUAGGACAUAGCCUAACCAUGGUGUUGAUGAUUUACAGUGACAAAAUAACAUUUAAAAGCCAGUAGCCUACUGCCCAUUGCUGACAAGCUGAAUCCCCAAGAUAACGGUUUUUGCUUCCAUCUACAUGCGCUCGCCGGAGAUUUCCCGUGAAUGAUUGUCGAGGGAGAAACCGGCAGAGCGGUCAGUGACCUCAUUAAGUCAACCGACGGAAUGCUCCGUGGCACAGUCGCACCUCCAUCAGCCCGAUAAAAGCCUUGCGGAAGGUUGGCCCCUUGGGAAGGCCCAGACUGCAGCGGGGAAUGCUGGAGCAGGAAUUUUGCCUGUGCGCGCCCCUGUCCGCUAUUCCGGAUUGAUGAUUAAUGAUGGAUUAAAAGCCAGUGAAUCUCCGAAGCAUUGGAAAGACUCAGCAGGCUUUGCUGAGAGAGAAAGAAUUAACACCAAAGGCAUUUUUCUGUUUUUAAUUAUUUCAGAGGAUUCUCACUGCCAGCUACAGGUAUAAACAGGGACUUUCUGCAGCAAGGAUUUGGUGGAUUUAUGUGGGG